CCUACGGGAGGCUGCAGUGGGGAAUAUUGGACAAUGGGGGGAACCCUGAUCCAGCCAUGCCGCGUGUGUGAAGAAGGCCCUCGGGUUGUAAAGCACUUUCAGUGAGGAAGAACGCCUGGUGGUUAAUACCCAUCAGGAAAGACAUCACUCACAGAAGAAGCACCGGCUAACUCCGUGCCAGCAGCCGCGGUAAUACGGAGGGUGCGAGCGUUAAUCGGAAUUACUGGGCGUAAAGCGCGCGUAGGUGGCUUGAUAAGCCGGUUGUGAAAGCCCCGGGCUCAACCUGGGAACGGCAUCCGGAACUGUCAAGCUAGAGUGCAGGAGAGGAAGGUAGAAUUCCCGGUGUAGCGGUGAAAUGCGUAGAGAUCGGGAGGAAUACCAGUGGCGAAGGCGGCCUUCUGGACUGACACUGACACUGAGGUGCGAAAGCGUGGUAGCAAACAGGAUUAGAUACCCCUGUAGUC
rnacentral:rRNA from 1 species